rnacentral:lncRNA from 1 species
CACUACUACUUAUUUUUCAUUUGCACAAUAUUUGCCUACAAAAUUAAUAUCCAUUGUUUUCUCAUUAAGGGUAUGAAUGGUGUCAAUGGCAUGCCUGGCCCACAGGGCCCUGUAGGGGACAAGGGGGAUAAGGGUGCACCAGGUACUGAAGGGAAGAGAGGGACUGAUGGAUCCCCUGGCAUGAAGGUGAGCUAGCUGUCUGUUGAGAAGCUGGUAAUUAUAAUAAGAAUAUGUAGUUAUAGUGUUGAUAAGAUCUAUGUAGUUUCAUUUAGGUCUGUUUACUGAGUAAGUGAACUUACUGAAACAAUACAAUAAUCCUGAUCCCUUAGGGUGAAAAGGGGGAUGGUGGAGAUCCAGGACCCCAGGUGAAUGUUUAACAAAGUCUUUUCUUCAUUACAUAUUUCUUUUUGAACAUCUUAGAUGCUUGACAGUCAUUUCCAUCUGUCUCUCUCAGGGAGAGAAAGGAGCUACUGGCUUCAUAGAAAAUGCUGAUCUGGAUGUUAGACUCAAAGCUCUACAGGGGCUUCCAGGACCUCCAGGAGAGCAAGGGCCAAAAGGAGAAAUAGGCUUAGCUGGGGCACCAGGACCUGAAGGAAAGCAGGGCCAUAAGGGAGAGAGAGGUGAUGCAGGAGUGCCUGGAGCAGCAGGAGCAAAAGGGGAAAAGGGGGAAAUUGGACUGAUAGGGCCUUCAGGCGAAGCAGGGCAAAAGGGAGAUAAAGGAGACUCUAGGCUUGAGGACAAUCUGGUGAGUUUAAAACACACACUUAUAUAA